rnacentral:rRNA from 1 species
AACGUAGGUGGCGAGCGUUAUCCGGAUUUACUGGGCGUAAAGCGCACGUAGGCGGACUAUUAAGUCAGGGGUGAAAUCCCGGGGCUCAACCCCGGAACUGCCUUUGAUACUGGUAGUCUUGAGUUCGAGAGAGGUGAGUGGAAUUCCGAGUGUAGAGGUGAAAUUCGUAGAUAUUCGGAGGAACACCAGUGGCGAAGGCGGCUCACUGGCUCGAUACUGACGCUGAGGUGCGAAAGCGUGGGGAGCAAACAGG